rnacentral:rRNA from 1 species
UACGUAGGGUGCAAGCGUUGUCCGGAAUUAUUGGGCGUAAAGAGCUCGUAGGCGGUUUGUCGCGUCGGAUGUGAAAACUUGGGGCUCAACCCCAAGCCUGCAUUCGAUACGGGCAAACUAGAGUUCGGUAGGGGAGACUGGAAUUCCUGGUGUAGCGGUGAAAUGCGCAGAUAUCAGGAGGAACACCGAUGGCGAAGGCAGGUCUCUGGGCCGAUACUGACGCUGAGGAGCGAAAGCGUGGGGAGCGAACAGGAUUAGAUACCCUGGUAGUCCACGCCGUAAACGGUGGGCGCUAGGUGUGGGGCACAUUCCACGUGUUCUGCGCCGCAGCUAACGCAUUAAGCGCCCCGCCUGGGGAGUACGGCCGCAAGGCUA